rnacentral:rRNA from 1 species
UACGGAGGGGGCUAGCGUUGUUCGGAAUUACUGGGCGUAAAGCGCGCGUAGGCGGCUUUGUAAGUUAGAGGUGAAAGCCCGGAGCUCAACUCCGGAACUGCCUUUAAAACUGCAUCGCUUGAAUCCAGGAGAGGUGAGUGGAAUUCCGAGUGUAGAGGUGAAAUUCGUAGAUAUUCGGAAGAACACCAGUGGCGAAGGCGGCUCACUGGUCCGGUACUGACGCUGAGGUGCGAAAGCGUGGGGAGCAAACAGG